rnacentral:lncRNA from 1 species
CUGGAGCCUCCCUCACACUCGUUGGUGGUCCAGCUGGGAUGCAUUCACCUCCUUCCUCCCUGCUGGUCAGAGCAUCUAUCUGGCAACUGGCACAGCCAUGGUUGGUCCUCAAGGAACACGUCCAGUUGUAUGUGAUGCACUGACAGAAGUAACCAUAAGGACGCAGAUGCUGCUGCUUUCUGAGGCUCAGCCAACAGUCACCGUGAGGCUGAGUGGCAGGGACCAGAACCCUGAAGCUCAGGGUAUUUCUCACUAUAUACAUCCCCCUCCUCCCAGCUUUCCAAACCCUCACCAUCUGACUUUGUACUCUUUCAAAUGAAACAGGUUGCAUAUUGCCAAGCUGACGGAGGUUCCCUACCCAGACUAAUAGAGCCCGCCACACAGAAGUAAUUUCUUGUUAAACGUCUAUCCAGUGAAAUCCAGCCACUGCACACAGCAGGCCCGCCUGUGCUGGUCCUGCCAUCCUGCCACCGAGGCGCAAGGGAAUAAAGGAAAAUGCUUAGCAUUAAAUUUCAUGUAAAUCAGACUUUAUUUGCUCUGGUGGCAGGUUAUUACCUUCUGCAGGGAACGAGGGGAGAAACGGCUGCCGCUGGAGACAGAGUUCCCCCAGUGGGCUUCCGUAGCAGCCUGCAGCACACAUGCCUAACUCACCUGCUUUGUCCCUUCCUUCCUUCCUCUCCGCUAGCUUCUCUGUGAAUGGCCAGGGUCUACAGGCUCUUCUUGGCAUAGUAGCUCUGCCUACUCAGCCUUCCUGAUGCUUCAGAGAUGGUCACUAUUUAUGUGGGCUUCCCCACUAAGUCCGUUGGACACUGUUCACCUUGCUUUUGGGCUCAGUCUGUCUCCCACCAAGAACGUUCUAUAUAGCAAUAAACUCAUUCAGGCUCAGCUCA